AAGGUGACUGCCGGCUAAAAAGUCGGAGGAAGGUGGGGAUGACGUCAAAUCAUCAUGCCCCUUAUGACCUGGGCUACACACGUGCUACAAUGGGCGGUACAAAGGGUCGCGAACCCGCGAGGGGGAGCCAAAUCCCAAAAAGCCGCUCUCAGUUCGGAUUGCAGGCUGCAACUCGCCUGCAUGAAGCCGGAAUCGCUAGUAAUCGCGGAUCAGCAUGCCGCGGUGAAUACGUUCCCGGGCCUU
rnacentral:rRNA from 1 species